rnacentral:rRNA from 1 species
UACGAAGGGGGCUAGCGUUGCUCGGAAUCACUGGGCGUAAAGGGUGCGUAGGCGGCGCGGUAAGUCGGGUGUGAAAUCUUGGAGCUUAACUCCGAAACUGCAUUCGAUACUGCCGUGCUUGAGGACUGGAGAGGAGACUGGAAUUUACGGUGUAGCGGUGAAAUGCGUAGAUAUCGUAAGGAAGACCAGUGGCGGAAGGCGGGUCUCUGGACAGUCCUGACGCUGGAGGCACGAAGGUCAGGGGAGCAAACGG